GCAAUAAGAAAGAGCUUCUUUGGGAAAGGGACAAUCUCGUAAAGCAUGCAUCUCCGUUUCACGUUCAAAAUCUCACCACUGACAUAUAUGGGAUGCUCCUUGAACUCUGUAAGCAAUGUUUCCGGCAGUCGGGAUUGCUCCGUUACAAGCUCUCCAUACAAAAAGUUCCACCUUUGUUGAAAUGCCAAAGUCAUAUUAGCUUGUCAUCACAAAACUCCGGAGCCAGAGGCAUUUCAAGGAUUGCAUUUGCCUCCACCUCGUUGAACUCAGCGCGUACAAGAUCUUCCCUCCACCUAUUAUUAAUAACAUCAAUAGGCAUGCUGACUUUGCUAUUUGGGAGAAAA